rnacentral:rRNA from 1 species
CACGUAGGGGGCAAGCGUUGUCCGGAUUUAUUGGGCGUAAAGAGCGCGCAGGCGGUCGUUCAAGUCGAGUGUGAAAGCCCCCGGCUCAACUGGGGAGGGUCAUUCGAUACUGAUCGACUCGAAGGCAGGAGAGGGAAGUGGAAUUCCCGGUGUAGUGGUGAAAUGCGUAGAUAUCGGGAGGAACACCAGUGGCGAAGGCGACUUCCUGGCCUGUUCUUGACGCUGAGGCGCGAAAGCUAGGGGAGCAAACGGG